ACGUUGCGUUGGAAAGUUUCAUGAACCUUAUCACUUAAAGGAAGGAGAAGUCGUAACAAGGUUUCCGUAGGUGAACCUGCGGAAGGAUCAUUC
rnacentral:rRNA from 1 species